UUUCGUGGUCCCCAGGGAAUCUAGGGAUUGCGGGGAGCAAGCAAGAGCCUAGCCCUCGCCCCCAACUCACUGUGGAAGCCUCCCUACCCACACCCACGUUCUGGGUACGGGUGUCAUCAGCCGCGGGAUGGGGCGAGGACGUCGCGCUGACUGCUCCCAGACCCUAGGUCCGGAGCCUAGGCUCUUAGAUCGGGGAGAACACGAGGGAGAGGCAGAGAAACCAGUGAGGGAGGGGCGCGGGAAGACCCUAGCUAGACUCUACUCCUGAGCCGCCUGUGCUAGUUCUUGCUAAGAAAGCCACACAUGCACACUGGAGCCAGAUUCAUGACUUAAAGACGCUUUACCCAAAGGGGUCUCCAGGGCCAGGCGCUGAGCUUGGUUGCAGGGAAACAGAAGUCAAGAGGAGACGCUAGGCAUGGGAGUGCAUCCUUGGUCUUCAGUAGUCACUAGAGUCAGAGCUCCGUGAACUGACGCGUUUCCCCAGCACGUCUGUGUCAAAAACCUCGGACGCAUCCCUUCUCUUUACUUCACUGCGGAGAUGGAACAACUGAGAACUCCGCAGACAGCACUUUCUUCUCUAGCACUGACAGGUGUACCGUUCCAAUGAUGUACACAUGCUGAUAUAUUUAAUCCUCAUAGUAAAUUAGGGAGUUAUUUAAUUCCUCAAAUACAUAAGGUAAGUACUUUUAUAAUUACCUCUAUUUUUCAGAUAAAGAAAUUGAGCUGCAAAGUUACUAAAAAUUUUGCCAAUCUCAUAAAUAUAAUAAGUGCCAGAGCUCAGAUUUGAACCCAGAAAAUCUAUCUCCAAGGUCUGUGUUUCAGUCACUAUGCUUCCUAGCUUGUGGAUACGGAAGCAUAGCACACUUGCGACUGUGUUCCCCAGACAUGCUUUUAACUACUGUACUCUAUUGCUUGUCUGUUUAUUAGUAGAUACUGAUUUAUAUCAGCAGGGGGUUCCUGAAUUUUUACUCUUUGGGAAGACACCUUCACGGCAUGUCUAGUGAACCACUGGCACCCACUUUUUCAAUUGCUGUUUUUGUUUUUUGUUUUUUCCUCUUCCCACCAUCAUAUGCAUGGUCCAUAUAAGAGGCAGAGAAUGUCUGUUCUCUAUCUGUCUUCUAGGCCUGCAUAUGGCUAUGAAUACCUCUACUGUAUCUUAAGGUCCUGGACAAGCUUCUUUGCUUUGUUAGGACCCUCUCUCUGUGUGACGUCCUGCUGCAGCUUAUUGAGAUGCUACUGUCAACCACCCCUAAAACCCUGAAACUGCCAAGUUCAAAGCCUACCUGAAACGAGCUCAAGUUCAGUGCCUUGCUUGAAGUGAGUUGAUGGUAUGUUUUCCUUUCUGGCUAUUACUUGAUUCAAUAAAUAUUAACUGAGUACAAUAACAUUGUUUUCACAAUACCAAAACUUGGCCAUCCAAGUAAGUUUUGUGUCUUUCAGUGUAGUCAGUUUGGAUAUUAUAGAUCUAUUUCUAAAAUGUUCAAAAUAUUGGGCGAUUCCCUCUGGGAAAUGUCUUAAUAUGUUUUAAUAUGUCUUAUGAGACCAUCUACUAUAUUGUUUAAUAUUCACCUCAUUUAAGAGUCAAACAAUAUCUCUGUAGUUAUUCAUAUAUGUUCCUUACAAGUAUUGAUUCUUUGUGAUUUUGGCCCAUUUCUCAUUAUCCUUUCUACAUAGAAAUUGUGUAAGACAAGUUGAUGCUAGUAUCUUAGCCAUACCAAGUUCUUUAUUUUACAACUUUGAUUGUUCAGUCCCUCAGAUACCCCACACACACAAAAAAAGAAAAAAAAAAAAAAAAACGGGUACUUAUAAAC